CCUACGGGAGGCAGCAGUGAGGAAUAUUGGUCAAUGGGCGAGAGCCUGAACCAGCCAAGUAGCGUGAAGGAUGACGGCCCUACGGGUUGUAAACUUCUUUUGUGCGGGAAUAAAGGAACCUACGUGUAGGUUUUUGCAUGUACCGUAACGAAUAAGCAUCGGCUAACUCCGUGCCAGCAGCCGCGGUAAUACGGAGGAUGCGAGCGUUAUCCGGAUUUAUUGGGUUUAAAGGGAGCGUAGGCGGGUUGUUAAGUCAGUUGUGAAAGUUUGCGGCUCAACCGUAAAAUUGCAGUUGAUACUGGCGACCUUGAGUGCAACAGAGGUAGGCGGAAUUCGUGGUGUAGCGGUGAAAUGCUUAGAUAUCACGAAGAACCCCGAUUGCGAAGGCAGCCUGCUAAGCCGCCACUGACGUUGAGGCUCGAAA
rnacentral:rRNA from 1 species